AAAAACUUAGUGACACUGCAAAAAUACUGUGUUUCAUUCUUCCUAACUUAUAUAAACAAUUCCGUGUUGUGCAGGGAGUCCCAGGAAGACCUGGACAUCCGGGUCCAGCUGGAGCAAAAGGAGAAAAGGGUAGUGAAGGUUCUCCUGGGAAACCUGGACCACCUGGGCCUCCGGUGAGACAUUUUGUUUUAUAUCUUGCAUUUAGAUUAGGAACAAUAUACUUUUGAGUAAAAUGUAAUGUAAUAUAAAGAACUGACUGUUGAUCUAAUGAAAAUUAAUAUUGCAGGAAGGUAACAGUGUCUUUUUUCAAAAGGUUUCUGUGUUCGAUUUUUUUUCCUUGCAAUUCAUCACUGAGUAAAUUCAGAUCACUAAAGCCAUUUUAGAAAUCUGCUCAAAUUAGUUAAUCUUGGUAUCCAAUAUUAUUAGAGUAAAAUUGACAGCUUGUAUACCUGAGAUCAGAGAACUCAGGCAACCUAGAGAAAGUCUGUGGAGUUCACUGGACUCCAAAUUAACUGGAAUAGUACCUAACACAACAUUUACUCUGGAGAAUUAUAAUAUUAAAUAUCAAAAUAUGACUUACACUCAUUUACAGGUUUCUUGGUUUAUAUUUUUAAAAAAAGAAGUCCCAAGCUGUGUUGGUGUGUAUCUUACAUUCUUCUGAAAUCUGGAAUCUUUGACAAAUUGAGAACAAAAAGGAUACCACAGGUUUGCUGAAGUACUGGACUUGAACAGGGCAAUAGUGCUGCCUUAAUAAUUCAUAAGUGACACUUACUUGGUUUUUAUGCUUUAAAGGGUAUGCCUUACAAUGAAAGAAAUGGAAUGAGCAGCUUAUAUAAACUGCAGGGAGGUGUGAGUGUCGCAAGUUACCCAGGUCCACCAGGACCUCCAGGUCCAAAAGGAGAUCCUGGAACAGCGGGAGACCCAGGACCAAUGGGAUUGCCAGGACUGGAAGGACUCCCAGGGGAAAAGGUAGGACUCUUAAAAAGAAGUUAUGACUUCUUAGUGGCCACUAUCUGCAACUAAAUGUCUUCUGAAGCCUU
rnacentral:lncRNA from 13 species